GGAAGCUUGGCAGAGUGGUCGAUUGCACCGGUCUUGAAAACCGGCAAGGGGAAACCCUUCCAGGGUUCGAAUCCCUGAGCUUCCGCCA
rnacentral:tRNA from 1 species